AUUGAACGCUGGCGGCAGGCCUAACACAUGCAAGUCGAGCGGAUCGGCGGCCGGGUGCGUAAUGCCUAGGUAUCUGCCUGUUCGUGGUGGAUAACGUCCGGAAACGGGAGCUAAUACCGCAUCCUUUCACAUUAGCCUAUGUCGGAUUAGCUAGUUGGUGGGGUAAAGGCCUACCAAGACGACGGUCCGUAACUGGUCUGAGAGGAUGAUCAGUCACACUGGAACUGAGACACGGUCCAGACUCCUACGGGAGGCAGCAGUGGGGAAUAUUGGACAAUGGGCGAAAGCCUGAUGCAGCCAUGCCGCGUGUGUGAAGAAGGUCUUCGGAUUGUAAAGUACUUUAAGCGGGGAGGCGUUACCAGCAGAAGAAGCACCGGCUAACUUCGUGCCAGCAGCCGCGGUAAUUC
rnacentral:rRNA from 1 species